rnacentral:rRNA from 1 species
CCGCGCUGUAAACGUUGUAUGCUGGACAUUGGUGAUAUACUGUCAGUGUCUGAGGGAAACCAUUAAGCAUACCACCUGGGGAGUACGCCGGCAACGGUGAAACUCAAAGGAAUUGACGGGGGCCCGCACAAGCGGAGGAACAUGUGGUUUAAUUCGAUGAUACGCGAGGAACCUUACCCGGGAUUGAAAUUUAGAUGACGAGUGAUGAAAGUUGCUUUCCCUUCGGGGCAUCUAAGUAGGUGCUGCAUGGUUGU